UACGUAGGGUGCAAGCGUUAAUCGGAAUUACUGGGCGUAAAGCGUGCGCAGGCGGUUGUGCAAGACAGAUGUGAAAUCCCCGGGCUCAACCUGGGAAUUGCAUUUGUGACUGUACGGCUAGAGUGUGUCAGGAGGGGGGUAGAAUUCCACGUGUAGCAGUGAAAUGCGUAGAUAUGCGGAGGAACACCGAUGGCGAAGGCAAUCCCCUGGACCUGUACUGACGCUCAUGCACGAAAGCGUGGGGAGCAAACAGG
rnacentral:rRNA from 1 species